UUCAUAGAAGAGAGUUUCUAGUUUCAUUCUGACAUUGACACGUGUUAUGUUGUAAUUGGCUUUUGAUGUUGACACGUGUCACGUUAUGAUUGGCUUCUGAUGUUGACACAUGUCGAAACGUUGUGAUUGGCCUCCUAGUUGGAGGGAAACUCUUCUGGGUCCUUGACGGUAUAACGUUGACCGAUGCUCAGUAGUUUCGGGAUUAGUCAAGUAUGGUACAAACAAAGUGGGUUUUGAUUAUCUGUUGGUGCUGAAGUUAUUGGUUGUAACAAGUUGAAAAAUACAGACUGGAUUUCACAGCAGGACCCAUAUGUCUGCCUUGAAUAUUCUAACACCAAGCAUCGCACCAGAACAAGCACAUGUGAUCGAUUUAUGCCCUGUUUACUUAGAGCCAACGUGUUGGCUGGCUCCUUUUGGCCAGCUCGCUGGCCUGGUGGAUGAAUUAUGGUCUAGUGGGGCCCAUAAACCCCUUGGCCUAACCCUCGAUUGGAGAUGGUUUUCGUGCCAAAACGGGCUAUAUUUGGGCCUAUGACCCUUUGGUCGGGUCGGUUGGAGAUGGCCUAACAAGCUUUAAAUCUUUUGACUACUCAUUCUUAGUGUCGUAGUAAUGAAUUAUACAUGUUUAUUUGCUUAAGUUCCAUAGGGUGUUAAACACACUUGUGUUUGAUCAAAUGAAUGCUGAAAACAGUCCGAAUAAAAUCCAAAAGAGACAAACUGUGUACUUUUGACACCCAAUAAGUUUUUGAACUUUUGAGUACUCAUUAUUAUGGUCCUAGAAGCCUAUUGUAUGUGUUUAUUUGCUUAAGUUCCAAAGGGUGUCAAACGCACGCUUGUUUGUUUCCAUGAAUGUCGAAAACAGUCCAAAUACGAUAUAUAAGGAAAAACCGUAUACUUUUGACACCCAAUAAGCUUUUAAACUUUAGAGUACUCAUUCUUAUUGUCCUUGUAGCGUAUUUUAUGUGCUUAUUUGCUUAAGUUCCAAAGGUUGUCAAAUGCACACUCGUUUGAUCACAUGAAUGCCCAAAACAGUUCAAAUACACUUCAAAGAGAAAAAACUAUGUACUUUCGAGACCCCAUAAGCUUUUAAACUUUUGAUUACUUAUUAUUAUGGUCCUAGUAUCAUAUUUUAUGUGUUUAUUUUCUUAAGUUCCAAAUGGUGUUAAAUGCACACUUGUUUGAUCACAUGAAGGCCGAAACAAUCCAAAUACACACCAAAGAGAAAAAACAUGUACUUUUGACACCUAAAAAGCUUUUGAUCUUUUGAGAACACAUUCUUAGGGCCCUAGUAAUGCAUUAUAUGUGUUUAUUUCUUAUGUUCUAAAUGGUGUCAAACGUACGUUCAUUCUAUACUAUGAAUGCCGAAAACAUUGCAAAUACAAUUGAAAUUGAGAAAGUGUGUA
rnacentral:lncRNA from 1 species